rnacentral:rRNA from 1 species
GAUGAACGCUGGCGGCGUGCCUAAUACAUGCAAGUCGAGCGAACAGAUGAGGAGCUUGCUCCUCUGACGUUAGCGGCGGACGGGUGAGUAACACGUGGAUAACCUCCCUAUAAGACUGGGAUAACUUCGGGAAACCGGAGCUAAUCCCGGCUAAUAUAUUGAACCGCAUGGUUCAAGAGUGAAAGACGGUUUUGCUGUCACUUAUAGAUGGAUCCGCGCCGCAUUAGCUAGUGGGUAAGGUAACGGCUUACCAAGGCAACGAUGCGUAGCCGACCUGAGAGGGUGAUCGGCCACACUGGAACUGAGACACGGUCCAGACUCCUACGGGAGGCAGCAGUAGGGAAUCUUCCGCAAUGGGCGAAAGCCUGACGGAGCAACGCCGCGUGAGUGAUGAAGGUCUUCGGAUCGUAAAACUCUGUUAUUAGGGAAGAACAAAUGUGUAAGUAACUAUGCACGUCUUGACGGUACCUAAUCAGAAAGCCACGGCUAACUACGUG